AGUAUAAGCAAUCAUACUGUGAAACUGCGAAUGGCUCAUUAAAUCAGUUAUCGUUUAUUUGAUAGUACCUUUACCUGGAUAACCGUGGUAAUUCUAGAGCUAAUACAUGCUAAAAACCCCGACUUCGGAAGGGGUGUAUUUAUUAGAUAAAAAACCAAUGCCCUCUGGGCUCCUUGGUGAUUCAUAAUAACUUAACGAAUCGCAUGGCCUUGCGCCGGCGAUGGUUCAUUCAAAUUUCUGCCCUAUCAACUUUCGAUUGUAAGAUAGAGGCUUACAAUGGUCUUAACGGGUAACGGGGAAUUAGGGUUCUAUUCCGGAGAGGGAGCCUGAGAAACGGCUACCACAUCCAAGGAAGGCAGCAGGCGCGCAAAUUACCCAAUGCUAAUUCAGCGAGGUAGUGACAAUAAAUACUGAUACGGGGCUCUUUCGGGUCUCGUAAUUGGAAUGAGUACAAUCUAAAUCCCUUAACGAGGAACAAUUGGAGGGCAAGUCUGGUGCCAGCAGCCGCGGUAAUUCCAGCUCCAAUAGCGUAUAUUAAAGUUGUUGCCGUUAAAAAGCUCGUAGUUGAACCUUGGACCUGGCUGAUCUGUCCUCCUAAUCGAGCGCACGGAUUCGGUCGGGUCUUUCCUUCUGGGGAGCCCUAUGCCCUUCACUGGGUGUAGUGGGGAACCAGGACUUUUACCUUGAAAAAAUUAGAGUGUUCAAAGCAGGCCUUUGCUCGAAUACAUUAGCAUGGAAUAAUAGAAUAGGACAUCGGUUCUAUUUUGUUGGUUUCUAGGACCGCUGUAAUGAUUAAUAGGGAUAGUCGGGGGCGUCAGUAUUCAAUUGUCAGAGGUGAAAUUCUUGGAUUUAUUGAAGACUAACUACUGCGAAAGCAUUCGCCAAGGAUGUUUUCAUUAAUCAGUGAACGAAAGUUAGGGGAUCGAAGACGAUCAGAUACCGUCGUAGUCUUAACCAUAAACUAUGCCGACUAAGGAUCGGACGGUGGUUUUUUUAUGCCCCGUUCGGCACUUUACGAGAAAUCAAAGUUUUUGGGCUCGGGGGG
rnacentral:rRNA from 1 species